GGCCUUAAUUUUGUUUUCAUGUGUAGUGUUUAACUGAGGGUCUCCAAGCACUUUAAUUGGACCUGCCUCAUUUUUCUAGGCUUCCUCCAUGCUUUAAUUUUUAUCAACAUUAGCACUCUUUCCACUUUGGCAUUUUGUUCCUUCAGUACAUUGAGCUUCAUCUUUCCUAUCUUACAUUUUGAAGGGUUUUAUGUGCAAACAAAGACAGAUUUUGAAAAAUUAGACAAAUCCCCUCUGUUCCCUUCAGUUUGAUGCCUUUCAUUUGUCUCAUCCUCUAAGUCAAUUUCAUUUUUCUCUUUGAUUAGCCAGCAUCCAUACUUAGCUCUCAUAAUGUACAGCUAGUUGAUAAUUUUCAUCAUAUACUGAAUGUUUCCUACUGUAUAAAAUAUUUCUCCCAAGUUUCAUUUCUGUAUCAGUAUAACCCUGAGAAAUAAC
rnacentral:lncRNA from 1 species